CCUACCCCUGCUUUGCCAUUCAGGAAAGAAUAAUUUUAUAGCUAUUAAUUUCCAAAAAUAAGAGGUUAAUUAAAGCCAACAGCCUAAACUAAUCCCAGAUUAAGAUGGUUUGUAUAUUAAUCACCUGGAGCUACAGCACCAGAAUUUUCACAGGAUAGCUAGGGUUCUGCCGGAUUUUUCAGCAGGAGAAGACACCUCAGAAAGUGAGAAACCCAUGGUUGACUGGCCAGGGGAUGUCUCCUCUGUAGGCUCCAAAAUCAGUGGUACCCUGGGGGUCAGAGCAAGUGUCAUAAAGUAAUUUAAGCAUGGUAAACGUAAUAUUGGAUGUUGUAUACCAAAAUAGCCUGCUGCAAGGCUAUAAUUGAUGCCAAGAGACUCUACAAUGAUGUGAGAAAACCCACUUGCCACCCCAGCUGGGUCAGUGCUGCCUCUCUCUCUUUGACUCACUAUCUUUAAUAACCAAAAUUAUUGCAAGCUGCCUGUAGGCAACCGACUAGAAUCCAUGAGGCAGCAGAGUUCCAGCAACUAGCCCAGUCCUUCAGCCCCACGUCCACGGCUGUGGUUGUCCACAGGGAGCAUGUCCACAGAUAAGUUAGUUUUGCUACCAGGGAGACCCAAGCGAAAGAUAGCUGCAUUGCCCUCGCUGCUGCCAGAGACACAUGGCGGGUUAUCAGUGGGAGGGACCGUGACACACAGCUCUCCACAUGGCUUGGGACAGGGAGCAUCCCCAGUGCAACCCUACAGACCAGUCCCUCUAAAUCCACAAGAGGGAUGUGGGGAGAUAGGCAAGGAUUACCAAAAGAAGCCCCAGAAAGAUGAUAUUGCUGACUAAUAAUAAUUUCUACUAGUCUCACUGAGGAUUGCAUUUAAUGUCAUGCAUUAAAACAUGCCUUUGCUUGACCAUAGCAAUGGCUGUGACUUCAGAAUAAGUUUCCCAAAAUCUUCUCAGGGAAGUACUGGUAGAUGGUCUAUUACAGAAAUACAUAUUAAGACUGUUCAAAGUAAGUAAAAACUUUUUUUUUUUUUACGCCCCCACACCACCCAGUAGUAGGUUAUAGUAGGUGGUUCGCUCUGCAGGACAAACUUGUCUCUGAUUUUCUUCUCUCCUUUUUUCCUGCAGAGUCUACAUGGGCUUGAAAGCUAAGCAAGAUUUGUAGCUUGCACCAAAUCUGAGACAAUGUCUGUGAGUGUACUUGCAGGGAAAUGUGCGUGUAAGUCUCUUCAGGUGGUAACCAAAAGGGUAUUAUUUUUCCAUAUAGCCUACGUUCCUUUUUCAUACCCAAGACCUAACACUUGGAAAACUCAUCUUCGUAAAUUGGUUCCUGUGAAGGAAGUUAUCAUAUAAUGUUUUAUACAGCAUCAGGCAAAAAUUAUCUUUAAGGAUUGGGUCACUACGGUAACCACUUCUUAUCUCAGAAUCAAAAAGCGGUUAUGAUUGUAAUUUAGAAAAGGUAUGCUUUCUACCAAGAAUUAUUCCGAAUUAUAACUCAUUUUCUGUCACAUACUGGAGUUAUUUUUAUUGCCCUCAAAGGCAUCAGCAUUUGUUAUAAUUCAGCAAUGCAACACUUCAUAGAGAGCAACUAUGACCUGCUUUGAAUGUACUGUCAGAAACUGUAGUCGAUGACUUCAACCUCUUAAAUACUUCAACAGACUCCGGCGAAACACCAGGAAUGCUUUUUGUUCUUACAGAGGGGAAAGCGUAAGAUAAAUAAGGCCUCCUGAAAGCGUGUGUUUCAUCACAACUAGCUGCAUAUCCUGAGCCCAGUGAUGUGCAGAGAGGCGUCCAGAGGUUUGCUGCUGUGAGCAGGUGGGUUGGCCACCAAUGCAGAUUUUCCUUUGGCUUAAGUAGAAGUUUUAUUUAAAAAAAAAAAAAAAAAAAGAAAAAAGAAAGAAAACCUCUUGGCUUUUCUUCCUUGGGCACUUGUGCCUAUGACUUCUGUUUCCAGGAUCAUGGUCAUCCAUGGAAACCUUGGCAGAUUGCUGGCAUAUGCUGGGCAUUCACAGGUAAACCACUGUGGCUGCCUUUAAAAACUUUAACAUAAGUAACAGGAGCAUAACGUUCCAUGUGGCUCUGAUCCAGCUAGUGGCAAAGCUGGUUUUCAAUUCAAAGGGAGCAAACCCAGGCUUGCAAUUAGGUGAGCUGCUCCAGCUGGCUCUGAUGGGAGUUGUCCACAGGUGGCUUCAGGGAGGAGGGAAGCCCUCACUGCUAAUAUGGACCAUUUCCAAGGGGGGAGCAGCAGGGUGGUUUCAUCUUCUACUCCUCAGCCUGGGUCUGUGCUGGGCCAGGAGACUUUUAGCAGGAUUUUUGGCACUCACCUCUGGUGUUUCAUUUUUGGGGGGGCUGCAGCCUAUAUGUUCUUCAGCUAAUGCACUAGGGAGCAAAUAUCUGCUUAUGUUUUAUGUAAAGAGUAAUAGAAUUGUUUGCCUAAAUGUUUCUUUUCUUCUACUUUUCCCAAGAGGGAGGCAGAACAAAUGUUUAUUUUCUUGAAAACCUGUAACUUUCAACAUUUCUCCAUAAUUCAGUUGUGAAUCCCUGUGGACACUUGAGCAUUUUCUCCUGGAAGUGGAUUUACUGCUCAGUGGCCACAGUUAUUCCAGCAGGACACUGUGAAAAGCCUUUUUGGUGCCUAAAACAGGGAGCUUGUUCUUCCUGGCCUGGAUGAGCAGGCUCCUGUGCUCCAGAUGGGUGGCAAUGUUAGGUUAAUGAGGCACAAACUAAUAAUUUUCAUUCUUUUGGAGCCGUUCCAGCCACCUAUCAACCCAAACAGCUCUCAGUGGAAGAGGAGUUGUAGUUCACUGAGCUGGCUGAAAGCUUUUGGGAAAGGACCCUGUAAAAACCCCAGCUCGCAGUCACCCAGAAGAGCCCAAAUAUGCCUGAGCACUGCACACGGGAUGGUGGCAGUAGUGUCCACAGAGGCACAGGCCCUGCCUGUGUUUUGAGGCUGGUACAGGGAUGCUCUCAGCAACAAGCUACAGCCUUCCCUUCACACGGGCUGACGCCGUGGACUUUCCGGUUGAACUUCUUGCCACCUAGAGAAGGACUUCCGCAGUGUGAAAUCCUGCUUACCACCAAGGACUUGUAUCAUAGUACCAGCCAGUGGGGACCACAACUCCUCCCUUAACGAGCCGCUCUGUGAAUAGUGGAAUUGAGACGUGCUGCAACAUGCAGGACCAACCAAUGCCUCAGUGCCACAGGCUCAAAACAGAGGAAAGGAUGCUGAAGCUCUUUACCUUGCCUGGGUAUUGGGAACCGACCUCUUCCUCCCUGCUCUCCCAGCAGUGCCUUGGCGUCAGAAAUGCAAAAGCCCACCAGAGAGGGUUUGGGGAAGAAGAGGACGGCUGUGUAGGAGGACUCCUGUGUAGCACCACAGCUUCAGUGGUCCUCAUGCUGAGCCCUGAAGAGCCCUUGGCAAUGAUAAUUACUCAAGAUUGCGGAGGCUACAGCAAUCAGAGUGAUGCUAAGCUUGGAGGAGCCUACUUCAGUUUGAAGUACAUUAGCAUGCCCAGUACUGGAGCACAGAAACCAGCGUGAUAAACCCUAAUGUUGUGAAGUGAGAAAAAAAUCCUGCUGUUUGAGAUGGCUACCGGGAUGAGGUGGCCUUCCAUCUACUUCCUCAGCCUGAAUUCAUUUCCUUUUCCUCUGGAGAGAGUAGGAUGUGAUGGUCCUUGCCCAUGGGGCUCAGAAAGAAGGAAACAAAAGGGAUUUGCUUGCAAGACAGAAUGCACAUUGCCAAGGCAGGACCAACCCAUCAUCUCUCUGCUGGCAAACAAAACAUCAAGCAGAGAAAAACCCUCCUGGAGCUCCAACAUCCACUGUGUCCACCCUCUACCCAUUGCUCCAAAGCUGAGUUAAUGUUUUUAAAUUGUUUCCCUGUGCAGGAAUGCCUGCCCUGCAACCUGCUGGUGGAGAAGCUCAAGGGGCCAGAGCUUCACACUGCCUUUGCUUCUCGAAGCAACAUCCUGCCAUGACAUGACUUUUUUGAGACUUCCUCUAGAUGUGCCAGUGGGCUGGUUAAUGGAGUCGGGGGAGAGAGAAACUGGGCCAAAAGAAGUGGCCAGGAGAUCCAAGUAAUGAAGUGCAAUGUCAGCAAUGUCCCUGCCUCCUAGCAGAGGUCCUUCAACCAGACAUACUCGUGGGUGAGAAAGGAGGUGUGGAUGUGACAGUUGCUGAAACCUUCAACAGAUGUUGCAUAUGAACAGAUUACUUGUGCUGAAAGGUGAGCACCUGAACAAUCAGAUCAGCCAUUUACAGUUCCCUCAGCAAGUUUAGUCUUCCAUCCCUGUAAAGCCACGCCAUGAACCAAAUGAGGCAGAGAUCCCAGGAGGAAAAAAAGGUGUCAGGUACCAUACACACUAGAGGAGGCUGCGCUGCAUUGCAGCACCAACUGCGAUGCUGUGUCCUCCCUUCCAGCUCCAACACAAACAGUAUUCUUCUCAUGUAUAGAAAAAAAAAAUAAUCCCAGCAGCUUUUCAAAAAGAAAAGCCAAAUUUAUUAAAUUGCACAUUCCUUCACCCUGGCUUUCCAAGGUGAGUUUUGAUCCAGAUGCCCCCGGGGCACUAGAGCUCUCCAAGCACACAGCCCCACAGGCAGAUGCAGGGCCAGCGGGUCUCCCCACAGGUGCCCAUCUCCCAUUACCCAUUUUCUACAUAAGCCUCACGGUGGAGGUGGCCAAGGCGAGGGGAUCCUCAGGUGGAGCGGGAACGUCCCGGUUGCACCUCCCCGCUGCUCCUGCCAUUUGAGCUGCCAUGCUGGUCUGUGAGACCACAGGUUGGUAGACUCCAUUCCCCUCCCCUCCAGAGGAUCAUGAAUGUCAAAGAAGAAGGUUUUCCAGAACUCAGUCCAACAUGCACAAAAAUAAUCGCAUCGCCAAUGGCAAGAGUUUUCUGUGCUGCACCUCAUGGCUCACUGGGACACUGGGAAGGCUGCUGCUUCUCCAGUAAGUGAAUCAGACACCUGAGACCUGCACUCCUCUGCCCUACAGGCACGGGUAAUUCUUUAAACAGUUCAAGCACAAACUGGGCACUGAUUAUCUAGACUUGAAAGUGGGACAAGAAUGAAAAGAAACUCCUCAAAAAAUAUAUUUUUUUUAGGAAGACAGAGGAGUGUAAGGAGGGAUUUGUAUGCCGUGCUUGACAACCUGACUGGUAUGGGGGAGAGCGAAAGUGAUGAAGUGGGAAAGAGGCAGCCGUGCCAGGGGGGAGAUUUCUCCCCACAAAGCAAGCAAGGCAAGCUCUCUGUCUCCCCAACAUCAGGUCACCUCCCUGUGUUUCCACUGAGCUUCGGGUAGCAGCAGGCACUGAAGGCUUUUCUCUUUGCCUAAUCCGUAACUACUGCUCUGAGAGGUAUUUCAGCACCAUCGUACUUUUGCAUUCCCAAAGCAGGUCUAAGCACCACCCGUGGGUCAGAAACCUAAUACGAGACAACAGAAAGCUUGACAUUAAUUCAGGGGGUUUUAGGUACUGUCUAAAUAAUGUGACUUCAAUGGGAUGUGUGCAUGCAAGAAAAGCACAGCGUGCACUUCUCUUCCCCUUCUUCCUCAUCACUUCUUCUUUAGACUUACAGGCUUAAAGAAACUUUUUCCUUGAUAUCUACUGUAGGUUAAAUGUACCCUUGCCUGCAUGUGUCCAAAGCAAAGAAAAACCACCCAAAGCAGGACAUUGGUAUCAGCAGGGCCGAGCCAUUGCCACACCCCAGCUUGCACUUCUCCAGGUAGCAGGGCAGGAACACAAAGCAGAGGUCUGGCUUUCAGUGGGGAGGGAUGCCAAAGUUUGCAAGCAACUUCUGCAAUGCCGAGACAUUGCAUGGCAAAACCCAUCAAGGUUGUGUGAAGACGUGACUUGUCAGCAGGGGCUGCUGGGUUUCCUGCAGCAGGCAGGACGUGUUUUGGUACCCCUCUGCCUGUGCCAGAAGCCCAUUUGCAGUUUCAGCAGUUGCUGUAUCAGCUUUACAGCCACAGCCCAGAUUUCUGCUGCCAGAAAUACUAGGCUGUGAGCAGCUGGGUGCCGUCUUUAUGGCCGUGGGCAUUAAUGUGCCUGUAACUCACUCAUCCUUUUUCGAAGGAAGGGUUUGCACCAGAGAUCCUGGAGAGAUCAUUGGUGGCCUCAUUGCAUUUUUUUAGCUGAUAAAAUUCUCUCGCCAGGGAAAGCCAGCACCCUGUGACCCUGCAAUUUAAAUUACGUAUUCAGGCUGGUUUUUUUAGGGAGCAGUCACAAGCACAGGCCUCUUGCAGCACCUUUUAUUCAAAGGUAGAUAGUCAGAAGACUCUUCCCACUUUGCAGAUGUGCUGUUGCAUUUAGUGAUAGGAAGCAUCAUUAUAAUCACCUUAGUGAUACUUCUGUUGAGGCUUAGAAAAUUUAUGGUCUCUUGCUGUCUUCCCCUUCACCUGAAUCUGCUUCCCCCUGCUCUCACCAACACAAACACCUUCUGCCUCUUUGCUGAACAAAUGCAACGUGAAAGAGAGGAUAAACUCUUCAGGAGUGUUUUUUCCUGCACCAAGCAGAAAAACCUGGGUGUGGUUUUCCAUGGGUCUGCAAACAGUGGUCAGAACAAACUGGAAAAUUGGGUGUGUCUCCCAUCGCAAGGGCCAAGGCACUGGUGGCUGCUGUUCAGCCUGCCUGGCCUCCCAGAGCAGGGAGGGGAAACCACAGGGAUGCAGGGGGUGGCAUAUGCAGCUGGGAAUUAGGAAAUAUAGUACUAGUUCCUGUAAUAUGACAAAGGAAGUGUAUCUCGUUCAUGGAUGCUGCUGCCACCCCAGCUACAUGCUGGGCUCUUGUUGGAUUGAAAAUUACCCUUUUUGUUAUCUAGGAGGAGACAACAGGAUGCUGGUGGAUGUAUCGGUGAUAUGUUUAUGUGCCUGUGCUGGUUUUAAGAUGUUUAAAGCUCACCAGGGCUAUGUUAUUUGAUGUGGUUGAAUCAGGGUAGCUCCCAAAGUCCCCAGGCCUUCCCAGAGCGAGUCACUGCUCAGAUCCACUGCUUGCAAGGAUUGGACCCGUUUAGCAUUAGUGGCAGUGGCGGGGCGGGGAGGCUUUCCAUGGUUGUUUUGACUCAGCAAAUUAGAACGAGAAAGCUUUGAGAGGAGUUUUCAGCAGGCAUUACAUCAAAUGCUGCAGUGGAUGGAUUUAGCUCCACUCAUCUGCUGCAGUGUGCUCCUGCUAUUUGGCCAGGUGACCUGAGCGUUAGAGCUGUGACAGUGAGGUGUACGAGAGAGAUACAACAUUUCCAUGCUCAGGAGCCAAGACGAACAUGGAAGAAAUAUCUGAAAAGAAAUUUUGUACAACCUGAGCUACCCAUUUUUAAGGUAGCGAUGGGCUGAUAUUGCUGGGUAGCUGAGCACUUGCCAACUUCCAGGCAAGCCAUUUCUGUAAGUGAAUAUGAGGACAGCAAAGGCAGGCACUAUCGUUAUGAAUGGGCAAGAAACCCAAGGAUCUGCGGGAUCUUUGUACUCGUGUCUGAGUGACAGCUUGGCACUACUCCAGGAAAUUUUGCAUGGAAACACAUCACAGAGGCUCCAUAUUUACUCAAUCAACAGGAAUCUGCUCUUCAGUUUGAAUUUUACUAUCUAUUAAAAGAGGCUUAUGGAGUACUGGACUGCAUGCCUGACAGUUUGUGAACAUGGGUUUUGUCCACAAAACUUGCUCCCCUCAUGCAGCCAGGUGUAAAGGCCGUCAGGAAAGGACCAGCUGUGCUGACUCUGCUGGCUGUGCAGGUCCUCGGUGGCCAUGGAGCCUGUCCUCCACCCCUCUGCACUUUCACUAGGCCAAGCACUCAUCCUUUGGGUGAUGGGAAUACAUUUUAUUCAGCUUUUUCUAAAUGCUGGAGCAGCCACAAGAGGCUUUUCAUUCUACAGUUUUUCAGUCAUUAUAUAUAGAAAAAAAAAAAUCCUAAAUCAUAUCUUGCAAAUGGUUUCAGGACUACUUACUGGUGUGGUUUCCACCUCACAUAAGAAGGAAAAUGUGUGCAUCUGGGGUUUUCUCCCCGUCUCUGAAAAAGUGAGUUAUAUUACAGUUGUCACUGCUGUUUUGUGAACAAGUUUUGGGCAAACAGCCUGGGAACUGCUGAACGUGCCAGAGACCCAAGGCCCCGACUCAGUUGUUCAUCUUGCUUUAUAAAAUAAUUUAAUAUAAAAUAAUUUAAGCAUGGACUUAAACGCAUUGCUGAAUUGGGACGUUGGGGCAAAACCUGCUGGAUUCUGUCAAUCUUAAGCAGAUAUUUAUCAGGGCUUGGGCAAAGCCACUGAUGCUCUGCUUACAGUAUUUCAUAAAAAUCCUGUUGGUAAUAACUUGGACACCAGCACACAGGCAUUUUGGGAAACAAAUGAGGAUCAACCAGCUUUGUGCUGGAUAAGUCAUAUGGAAGAGGGGGAAAAUUGGCUGAUUUUGCUGUUUUUAAGGCAGCUGGCCAUGCCAAUGUGAGCAGCAAAUGGAGGAGAGCCAGGCGAGAGCCAGCCAUGGAGACGACCAUGAUGGUCAGCUAUUCAUUUUGGAGGAAAAUUGGCAGUAAAAGGGAUCUGGUCAGCAUUAAGCUCUGGCAGCAUUUAUUCUAAUUUUGUUGAGCUGACUCCUUAAUUAAAUGGUCGCUUUAAGGGGAGUAGAAGUGUCGGCUGUGCGGUAGCAAAAGGUGGAGGCUGCCACCCAAUUCACCUCUUUUUUCUGAAUGCCAAGAAAACAUUUUCACCUCUGAGAGGCUCUUCUCCCAAAAUCUACCUAUCCUUCCCUGGCUGUUCACGGCAGGAAGAGGGAGGGUCUCCCUCCUCCUGCUGUGGCUGCCCACCACUGUACCCUAGCCAUGGAGGAUAAUUUUGCCUCUAGUUUUCAAACAGCACCCAAGCAUUUGCCUUUUCCUAGGGGACAACUUAAUAGCUUUCCUGGACUUAUUUUGGGCUAUAACAUGGCUAUAUUUCAAUGCCUUUUGUUAACCCUUUAUCAAAAGCAAGCAUAGUAAAGAUGUGGAAAAAGACCUACAGUUUGCUUUUUUUCCUAGCUGAAGGUCUUGUUUCCUUCUCCUCCUGCCCAGGGCUUGCUUUGUGUCUCAACUCAGCAGCCCCUCCAACUCACAGCGCUCUUCCAAAAAGACUGAUAUAAACUUCAGACAUAUGAGAAAUACAGUAGUUUUUAUCUUUGCACCACUAAGAUGCGACGCUGAGGCAACAUAACUUAAAAGCAACAUUUUGGAAAGUUGGCAGUAAAAAUAUGACUGACAGGGCAGGACUGGGGUUGCCUCUAUGGAUGGGGCUACCAGGGAAAAAGGUCAGCUGGAAUACCUUGAAGCUGACCUCCUUAAUGUCAUACAGGAAACUCAGAGUCACCGCUGGCAGUGCAGAGGGCAGGGAUGGUUUCCCAGACAGUUUGGAAUUUGUGGGUCCAUCGUGCUCUGUUUUCUUCAGCUCAUGUGGGGCAGUGAUGGUAACCUGAGGUUUCUAAUGCAAGUGGCUCCUCACUGGGGAAAAGCAUCUGUGUCCAGGUGAAACUUCAGGCAAUAGCUGUGUGCAUUUGCCUGCACGCAUGUGAUGCAUGUGCAGGCAGCGAAUUCAGCAGUUUGCCCCCUUGCCAUCAAUGAUGCAAUCGCUGAUGUGCGUGACCAGCGCCUCUCGCUAACAUCUGGAUGACAGGCAGUGAAGGAAAACCAGAUUUGCAAGAAGGUCUGUAGCAGAUCCAGUGAGUGCUGGAGCCGGCAGCAAUGUGUCAGUAUGCAGGCAGCACUUGGAGCUAUUCUGGAUCUCACAUUUGGCUUCUGUCUUAAGAUAAAUUAAAUAUCUUUUCAUCACAAAUGGCACUCUGCCAGUUUCCUGGGACGAGCUCUGCGCCUUGUACAUGGCUUGUUUUGUUCAACAAACCCUAGGCAGGGAAAGAAAAAUUGCCCAAGCCUGGAAGAACGGGACCUGUUCUUUCUAAGGUUCCUGAGCUAAAGCAUCAUCUGCCCUCGGCAGAGUUAUUCAGGCUCAGCAGAAGAGAUUAAUUGCUUUAAAACAGGAUUUCCUCAGCCCUAGGCUCCAUGUUGCCGCGUUACUCUCUGCCAAAACAGCCGAUGUAUUAUGUGAUGGAUACCACAUCCAGGAAGACAAAUAAAAUAUCAUCUCUUCAUUUGCUAUUGACCCCUGCGCUGCUGGCUUGGAUUUUUUGUGAGUUUGGAGAGACUUCUGUCCAGCCAGUACCUACGGCCAAUCUGCAAUGGGGUGACUGGCUUCAAGCAACCCAAAUGCCGUCAGUUUCUUCCCUGCAAGCCACCGCCUUGCUGUUUAAGACUAGCGCUACCAGACCGUUACCCCAUACAUGGCACUGUCUGGCUUAAUGGGAUUAUAACACCAUCUGCUGAGGAUGGACUUUUAUUUUGUCUUGCAGGUUUAUAAAGGGCCGUGGACUCUGGUCUCGAGCUGUUGGGGCAAGUCAAGGAAAACAAAACCUCCUCACAUCCCUCCCUGGGCUAGCCAUAGCUGUGGCACCA